AGACGCGCAGCGGCCGGCCUGCUCCGGGCGCGUCAGGCAGGGGGUGGGGAGCAGGGGCCGGGCGGGCGCUCGGCUCCCAGCCGCGCUCCCUCGGGCCACUAGCGCUCCCGCGCGCGCCCGGCCGCCUUCAUGUGAAGCGCCGGCCCUCCGCCCCUUCCCUCCCCUUCCUUCCCUCCCUCCCUCCCUGUCCCCUCCUCCUCCUCCUCCUCCUCCGGCGCCCGCUUCAGCUCCCCGGGGCCCCCUGCCCGGCCGGGCGCUGACAGCAAGGGCGGGGGUCCCUGCCGCCGCCUUGUCUCGCGCAGGGUCCGGCUGGGGUAGCGGAGCCCCCAGUGCGGCCAUGGACCGGCCCCUGUCGUCGUCGGCGGAGGCGGAGGAGGAACUGGAGUGGCAAGUGGCGAGUCGCAGGAGGAAGGCCUGGGCCAAGUGCCGCAGCUCCUGGCAAGCGUCGGAGACGGAGGAUCUGUCCACAGAAGCGACGACGCAGGACGAGGAGGAGGACGAGGAGGAGGACCUCCCCGGCGCGCAGCUGCCGGCAGCGGGGGGAAGAGGAAACGUGCCCAACGAGAAGAUCGCGAUAUGGCUCAAGGACUGCCGUACACCUUUGGGAGCCUCACUGGAUGAACAAAGCAGUAGUACACUCAAGGGUGUGCUUGUGAGAAAUGGAGGAAGUUUUGAAGAUGAUUUGUCAUUGGGAGCUGAAGCCAACCACCUCCAUGAAAGUGAUGCUCAAAUUGAAAACUGCAAUAAUAUCUUGGCCAAAGAGAGAAGAUUACAGUUUCAUCAGAAAGGGAGAAGUAUGAAUUCCACUGGAUCUGGGAAAAGUAGUGGGACAGUUUCAAGUGUUUCAGAAUUGUUGGAACUUUAUGAGGAAGAUCCUGAAGAAAUUCUUUAUAAUCUUGGAUUUGGACGUGAUGAACCAGAUAUUGCUUCUAAAAUUCCUUCCAGAUUUUUUAAUUCAUCAUCCUUUGCCAAAGGGAUAGAUAUUAAAGUAUUUUUGAGUGCUCAGAUGCAACGGAUGGAAGUAGAAAACCCAAAUUAUGCUUUAACAAGCCGUUUUCGUCAAAUUGAAGUGCUUACUACUGUGGCCAAUGCGUUUUCUUCUUUAUAUUCUCAAGUCUCCGGGACGCCCCUGCAGAGAAUUGGAAGUAUGUCCUCAGUGACCUCUAACAAGGAGACAGACCCACCUCCACCUUUAACUCGAAGUAACACUGCAAAUCGUUUAAUGAAAACACUCUCAAAACUGAAUUUAUGUGUUGAUAAAACAGAGAAAGGAGAAAGUAGUAGUCCUUCUCCAUCAGCUGAAAAAGGAAAGAUUCUAAAUGUUUCAGUGAUUGAAGAAAGUGGCAAUAAAAACGAUCAAAAGUCUCAAAAAAUUAUGAAGAAGAAAGAGUCAUCUUCUAUGUUGGCUACAGUUAAAGAAGAAGUCUCUGGUAGUUCAGCAGCUGUUACGGAGAAUGCUGAUAGUGAUAGAAUUUCUGAUGAAGCAAAUAGUAAUUUUAACCAAGGAACUGAAAAUGAACAAAGUAAAGAAACUCAAAGUCAUGAGAGUAAACUGGGUGAGGAAUCUGGUAUUGUAGAAUCCAAAUUAGAUAGUGAUUUCAACAUAUCCAGCCACAGUGAGCUGGAAAAUAGCAGUGAGCUGAAAAGUGUCCAUAUAUCCACACCUGAAAAAGAGCCUUGUGCACCACUGACAAUACCAUCCAUAAGAAAUAUAAUGACACAGCAGAAGGACUCCUUCGAAAUGGAAGAGGUUCAAAGUACGGAGGGAGAAGCUCCUCAUGUUCCAGCCACUUACCAGCUAGGUCUUACGAAGUCGAAAAGAGAUCAUCUGUUACGUACUGCAAGUCAGCAUUCCGAUAGCAGUGGUUUUGCUGAAGAUUCUACAGACUGCCUAUCCCUUAAUCAUCUUCAGGUUCAGGAGUCCUUGCAGGCUAUGGGGAGUAGUGCUGAUAGUUGUGACAGUGAGACAACAGUUACGUCACUUGGUGAAGACCUUGCCACACCAACAGCACAAGACCAGCCUUAUUUUAAUGAAUCAGAGGAGGAGUCUCUUGUCCCUCUUCAGAAGGGACUAGAGAAGGCAGCAGCAGUUGCAGACAAAAGAAAAUCAGGUAGCCAGGAUUUCCCUCAGUGCAACACCAUUGAGAAUACAGGAACUAAACAGUCCACCUGUAGUCCAGGGGAUCAUAUCAUUGAAAUUACUGAAGUGGAAGAGGAUUUGUUUCCAGCAGAGACAGUAGAGCUACUGAGGGAAGCAAGUGCUGAAAGUGAUGUGGGUAAAAGCAGUGAAAGUGAAUUUACUCAGUAUACCACACACCAUAUUCUGAAAUCAUUGGCUUCUAUUGAAGCUAAAUGCAGUGAUAUGAGCUCUGAAAAUACAACUGGGCCUCCCUCUUCCAUGGACAGAGUUAAUACAGCUUUGCAAAGAGCUCAAAUGAAGGUUUGCAGUCUGUCUAAUCAAAGGAUGGGGCGUAGCCUGCUAAAAUCAAAAGAUUUGUUAAAACAAAGGUACUUAUUUGCAAAAGCUGGCUAUCCUCUAAGAAGGUCUCAGUCUUUACCAACCACCUUAUUGAGCCCAGUAAGGGUUGUGUCCUCUGUCAAUGUUCGAUUAUCUCCAGGAAAAGAGACCAGAUGCAGCCCACCUUCCUUCACCUAUAAGUACACACCUGAAGAGGAGCAGGAAUUGGAAAAGCGGGUGAUGGAACAUGAUGGUCAGUCUUUAGUUAAAUCGACCAUUUUCAUCUCUCCAUCAUCUGUGAAGAAAGAAGAAGCCCCCCAGAGUGAGGCGCCGCGGGUGGAGGAAUGCCAUCAUGGAAGGACUCCUACCUGUUCACGGCUUGCUCCACCACCAAUGUCUCAGUCUACCUGUUCCCUUCAUUCCAUCCACUCUGAGUGGCAAGAAAGGCCCCUGUGUGAGCACACAAGAACUCUGAGCACUCACAGUGUUCCCAACAUAUCAGGGGCUACUUGUAGUGCCUUCGCUUCCCCUUUCGGGUGUCCUUACUCACAUAGACAUGCCACCUACCCUUACCGAGUGUGCUCUGUGAAUCCUCCUUCAGCCAUAGAAAUGCAGUUGCGAAGAGUAUUACAUGAUAUUAGAAACUCACUGCAGAAUCUUUCACAGGUAUGAGAAAAAGUAUGUUAUCAUUAGCUUUUUUCUUUUACUGCUCUGAGCACUUUUUAAUUCACAGAGAAGCUAAGGCACAUCAAGUAUGAACUACCUCAGCUUUAUUUUCUGACAUGUCUAAACUUAAUCUGCAUCUGCCUUCGUUUUCUAUCUUCCCUCCUGUUUCAAGGGAGAAGCUGUAACUAACCCUGAUCAAAGUCGAUUUCUCUGCUCACAAGUCUGUCUCCUUUCCAAGAGGAGAGAUUUUUCUCGUUAAGUAUCCUCCCAUUUUUAGUCUAUCAUCCACUGUCUUUGUUUUAGUCUAGAAUCUUUUGUCAUUUCUAUUAUUAAAAAAUCUUCCCUCUUAAAGUUCUUUCUCUCUUUCUCUCUGCUAUUUGAACAUGUUGACUACCUUUUCCUUUUCCAAGUUUUCUCCCUGUUGGCUUCUGUGGCACCACGUUCUCCUGGUUCUGCUCGUAGCUCUCUGACUAAGCUUUCCCCUUCACCUACUGACCCUCGAUGCUGUGCACAGAGUUAGUCUACUUCCACUGGACUCAAAGACUGGAACUACUCCAGACCAGAAAAUAACAAAUCAGUACCCUAUGAUGAGAGGACCUGAUCCUGCUGCUGCUCCAUAUAGUACUCAGAAAUCAUCUGUUCUACCUCUUUAUGAAAAUACUUUUCAGGAGCUCCAGGUAAUGAGGCGGAGCCUGAAUUUGUUUAGAACACAAAUGAUGGAUUUAGAAUUGGCAAUGCUGCGUCAGCAAACCAUGGUUUAUCAUCAUAUGACUGAGGAGGAGAGGUUUGAAGUUGAUCAGCUCCAGGGUUUGAGAAAUUCAGUCCGAAUGGAACUUCAGGACCUGGAACUGCAGCUGGAGGAGCGCCUGCUGGGCCUGGAGGAGCAGCUUCGUGCUGUGCGCAUGCCUUCACCCUUCCGCUCCUCCGCACUCAUGGGAAUGUGUGGCAGUAGAAGCGCUGAUAACUUGUCAUGCCCUUCUCCAUUGAAUGUAAUGGAACCAGUCACUGAACUGAUGCAGGAGCAGUCAUACCUGAAGUCUGAAUUGGGCCUGGGACUUGGAGAAAUGGGAUUUGAAAUUCCUCCUGGAGAAAGCUCAGAAUCUGUUUUUUCCCAAGCAACAUCAGAAUCAUCUUCUGUAUGUUCUGGUCCCUCUCAUGCUAACAGAAGAACUGGAGUACCUUCUACUGCCUCAGUGGGCAAAUCCAAAACCCCAUUAGUGGCAAGGAAGAAAGUGUUCCGAGCAUCGGUGGCUCUAACGCCAACAGCUCCUUCUAGAACAGGCUCUGUGCAGACACCUCCAGAUUUGGAAAGUUCUGAGGAAGUUGAUGCAGCUGAAGGAGCCCCAGAAGUUGUAGGACCUAAAUCUGAAGUGGAAGAAGGGCAUGGAAAACUCCCAUCAAUGCCAGCUGCUGAGGAAAUGCAUAAAAAUGUGGAGCAAGAUGAGUUGCAGCAAGUCAUACGGGAGAUUAAAGAGUCUAUUGUUGGGGAAAUCAGACGGGAAAUUGUAAGUGGACUUUUGGCAGCAGUAUCUUCAAGUAAAGCGUCUAAUUCUAAGCAAGAUUAUCAUUAAACAGAAAUUAUAGGUUGGCAUGGAUCCUAUUAGCUGUGUAAUACUGGAAUUAUCAAUGAUAUGCACUGGUGGAGGUGUUAUUUGUGCUUUAGAAGAUACUUGCUGUUGAGCUGGGCUACUGUAUACAGUGUACAAUGUGUAUUUCUUCAACCAUAUAUUUUAAAAAGACGUACAUAGAAACUUAGGCACUUUGCUAUUUCUUUUCUAAACUAUCAAAAACUCUAGCAGUUUGAAAAGCCUAAUAUUUAUUUGUAUGUCAGUAUUUUUCAUUUGAUUCCCUAUUAGAAUUAAUUUUAAAACUUGAAGACUUCCAGACUUAUCCAACUUAUAAAUAACAUAUUUCUUCAGACUAACAUCUUAAAACACUGACCUCUAUGAGGUAUUUACUGUGCAAUAACUGAUUCAUUUUUUUCAGAGCUUGAAGCAUCCAAUGAUUUUUCCCUCCACUGCUGUUAAUUAAUGUCACUUCCAAGAAGAAAAACUGUUCUGUUGUAAAAAAUAUAAUUGCUCUUAAUUCUUGGGGAGGUUACUAAUAGCAGUAGGAUAGAAUUUUAUGAGGUUACCUACAACUACUUAAUGUACUUACACUGUAAGCCUUGUUGCUUUACCCAAGACAAAUGUAAUUUUAUCAUUGCUUAUGUAGUAUUUUUCUUUUGGAAAUGUGCCUUAUGUUAAACACUAUGUACUUUUACUUUUUGCAUUGUCCAGACUUCUUUAUUAGAUGGAGAUGUUUCUUUUUCUGUCUUCUAGACUAAAUAGAGUAUCAUCCAAAUAAUGGGGCCUAUGACUUGAAUGAAUAGAAAUGAAUAAGCUGGUGUUUGUUUUUUCAAAAUGGAAGUAAUUUAGAUUUGUUCUCCUCAUACAUAAAAUGAUUUUAGUUCAGUUUUAACCAGUGAAAACUUUGUUUUUAUGAAAAAAAAGGAAAAUGGUUUCCCAUUUGGUUUUAUAUGUGUUAAAUAAAUGUGUAAAGUAACCACCAAAUGUUAUUAGAAUUUUUCUUCUAGCAUUUAUAAUUUUUUCAACUCCUAUUGUGUUUCUUUGUGUGUGAUAUUUUAAUCAAAAGUGGUUGAGUUGUUAACAGUGUUCUUUGAAAGAAUCUCUAAAAGGCUUAUAAAUGUUUGAAAUAUCACACAAAGGCUGAUUUCUAAAAUAUAUAUAUAUUAAAACAAUAAAGUAUUUAUUUUGCCUAAA